rnacentral:tRNA from 1 species
AGCUCAGUGGUAGAGUUCUUGCCUACCGUGCAUGAGGCCCUGGGUUCAAUUCCCAG